AUCAUUGGGGACGAUUUAUUCUAUUCAAUAUUGAAUCAAAGUCUAAAUAUAAUAGGGGACCAAAUUGCUAUAAUCCCUAAUGCUGAAAUAGAAACCAAAAUGAACUGAGACUAUAAAAGUACUUCCAAAAAUUUACCAGCGACAGUUUUUUAUACCUCUACAAGAAGAAACUCUUCGGUGUAUUCAUUAGCAAAGCCAUAAAUUUCAGAAUCUUCAAAUUCAUGAUAUAUCACAACUUUGAAGAAUUGCUUGUUUAUCCAAUGGAACUCCAAAAAUCUCCACAGUUGUAAGCUUACCAAGUGUAAUCAAGGGAUAACUUGUCAUUGGACGAAAAGAUAUGGUCUAUUAUCAUGAAGAUUGCUAAUCAAAUUAAUGUUUUUUUUGUAUUGUUUAUUAUCUAGAUACAUUAUUUUGCAUUUUAAACAUUUUUAGUUUGUACUUUUUUGUA